AUUUUCUGUCAGGUAUCGCGCUUCUUCUUCGUUGCUUUCUUUGACGGACUGUGUUGCAUUUCUUCUUCGCCUUCAAAAGUUAAAGCUGGAGAUAUGCGUCAGCAGCUCUUCACUGCCGCCAACUGGUCAAAACAACUUGGAGCCUGGAGAGGAUGAAAGAUCUCGAUGCAUAACCUACUUCUAAAAUUGCUCUCGAUUGCCACGAGUCACAGAGCUGCGCGACCGCCAAUACUCAGGCAGACUUAAAGCUGUAAAGACCAAAGUGACCUGGUCUCAGCUGCACAAAGAAUCAUGCAAAGCUCAGGACUGCAGCAGGUGUGAUGCCACUUUAAAUGGCCCCCACAGGAUACAGUAACUGUGAAAGCAAAGUUAUAGGAACCAAGGUUUCAUUUGCACUGAUGGAACAAACAUCAGGGUUGAAUAACCCGGCUUAUUAAAUACACAGUGUGCGUGUGGAGGUAAUGAAGAUGGAAUGGGAUUUUAAAAAAAAGAGGCGCUGUGAUAGAAGGACAAGAGGAUCUACACCUACCACCUCUUGCUGAGGACUUCUAUUAAAGCAAGCACAUCAACUGAGACAAAAUUAAGGCAGCAAGAAUCAUCAGUUUUUAAAAUAAACAUUUUAUUUUUAUUACACAAGGAUCAUAUGCUCUUGCUUCCGU